rnacentral:ncRNA from 1 species
UUAAGCUUAGGGUUUUGGUGUAAGGUUUUUUUUUCAUGCUGGGGUUAUGAUUUUAAUAGAUGUCGUUGCAGUAAUCGGUAUUAUAAAUUUAGGGGUUUAUGAUUUAGAAAUACACAAUUAAUUCUAAUAAAUAUUGUGCCAGCAAUUGCGGUUAUACAAUAGGGGUAAUCAAAAGGUUUUGGUAAAUAAUAUAUUGUUGAAUAUUUUUAUAAUAUAAAUUGGGGAUUAUAUUAGGUGAAAUUUUAAUUUUUGGUUAUUUAUAUGAAGAUCUUAUUAUCUUGUGAAAGUUUUGUUUAGACUAGGAUUAGAUACCCUAUUAUUUUAACUGUAAAUUUUUGUUCCAGAUUAUUAAUAGAUUAUGUUCUUAAAAAUUAAAGAAUUUGGCGGUAUUUCAGUCCGGUCAGAGGAACCUGCCCUGUAAUUGAUAGUCCACGAUUUUCUUUACUUUUUUUAUGUUUGUAUAUCGUCGUUAUUGAAAAUUUUAUUAGAGUUUUAAUUUUUAAUUUUUUUAAUGAGAGAUUGUGUCAGAUCAAGGUGCAGCUAUGAAAAAGAAGAGGUGGGUUACAUUAGAUUUAUUUUUGGUUUUAGGGGUUUUUAAGCUUUAAAUAAACUGGAUUUGAAAGUAAUUAUAUUAAAUUAAUUUUAGUGAUUUUGGCUCUGAGAUAUGCACAUAUUGCCCGUCGCUCUCAUUAUUCUGAGAUAAGUCGUAACAUAGUGGAUUUACUGGAAAGUGUAUCUAGAUUUAUU